UCCUUGAUACAAUAAAUAGCCCUACUCUAGAAUUGAACGCAUUCUGAUAUUCCUACUUCUGGUCCUGAUAUAGUGAGAAAUGACCAUGAUGUUUUGUUGCCUUAAUUUCAGCAAUCUGAUUAUCGUGUUGAUCCUAUCUAUGGUGGUUACUUCGACGAAAUGCGACUGUCAAUCUUCAGAAUCUACUUGCCAAAAUAGAGGAACUUGCACCUACGAUUCCCGUAUUGGUUAUUACUGUGUAUGUACACCAGGACGGGUGGGACCUACAUGUGAACAGAUAGACUGGUCGACCUUUUAUUCUGGAAUAGCUAGGUAGAUGUUUAUACCGAUACGAAUAUCAAGACGGCCUAUCCGAGAACGAGAAGGGAAUAUUUUAUCAUUUAAUAAUUAUCGAAGCAGUUUUACUUCGAUUUGUGAAAUUUUAAAAAUACUGUUUUUGGCUUGACUUUUGUUACAUGAUUAACUGUUUAGGUUCAAUUUUCUUCAACAACAUAUAUCCUUGAACUUUCUUUGCUAAUGAGUCCACAUUAGAGCUAUAUAAACAUAUAAACAUAAAGUAGAGGAUAGAAAUUUAACUGAAUGAGAAUUUGUGUUGAAAUUUAUAUUACUGCUGUAUCAGUAUUUCAAUUAUGUAACUCAAAAUAAUCAAUGGAAACAUAACCAA